GGAAUUCGUGAGACCUCUGAACAGAGUCCCUGCUUGUUGGACUAUCCACACUGUCAUGAAGACUACCUAGAAAUAUUGGCAAUCUCAAAUUUGUGGUCAUUCCUUCAGAUGGCAGUGGGAACAUCAAGUCAUGUCCCUGUUUUGGUAUGGUAACCCCCAUAGGACAACACCAAGUUAAGUUCAACGUUCUCAUUCUUGCAGCUAACAGACAGUGAAAUCUGUCGAAUAUCUGUGUAGUUAAGGGAGUGGUAGAAAAAUCACACUCUUUUU
rnacentral:sRNA from 1 species